rnacentral:rRNA from 1 species
UACGUAGGGUGCGAGCGUUGUCCGGAAUUACUGGGCGUAAAGAGCUCGUAGGUGGUUUGUCACGUCGGAUGUGAAAGCCCGGGGCUUAACCCCGGGUCUGCAUUCGAUACGGGCAGACUAGAGUGUGGUAGGGGAGAUCGGAAUUCCUGGUGUAGCGGUGAAAUGCGCAGAUAUCAGGAGGAACACCGGUGGCGAAGGCGGAUCUCUGGGCCAUUACUGACGCUGAGGAGCGAAAGCGUGGGGAGCGAACAGG